rnacentral:tRNA from 1 species
CUAUUUUGGCAGAUAAAUGUGUUAAAUUUAGGAUUUAUUUAUGUAAUUAAUUACAA